AAAAAUUUAAACGAUGUCCAUGUACCAUGAAAGAAAGUUUAAAUAUACAUUGAUAUAAAUGUAGAAUGUAUUUAGAAAAUUUAAAACAAUAGUAAAGAUCAUAGGUUUUAGUAUAUAGAGCAUUUCCAAAAAAAUUCAAUAUUUUCGUAGGGGUUUAACCCAUAGAUUUUGAGAAAAAUUCAAAAAAAUGAAAAUUAUUUUUUAAUGCAUAGUUGCACCAUUCAAUAACAUAUAAUGAAGUCCAAAGAGGAUUAUAACCUUUGUUGUCUUCGUUUUUCUAGAGAAUGGCGAUUUUAUAGUGGUUAUUCAACUAAUUUAGGAAGUAUUAUGAAGUUUUACUAAAUUAAUUGACAAAAAAAUUUAAAGGAUACACAUGUACCAUGAUAGAGAGUUUCAUAUACAUUGAUACAAAUGUAGAAUUUGUUUAGAAUUUUCAAAACAACAGUAAAGAUCAUAGGUUUUAGUAUAUAGAGCAUUUACCGAAAAAUUCAAUAUUUUCGUAGGAGGGGUUAACCCAUAGAUUUUGAUAAAAAUUCAAAAAAACAAAAAUUCUAUUUUAAUGCAUAGUUGCAUCCUUUAUUAACAUAAGAUGAAGGCCAAAGAGGAUUAUAACUUUUGUUGUCUUCGUUUUUCUAGAGAAUAGCGAUUUUAUAGUGGUUAUUCAGCCAAUUUAGGGAGUAUUAUGAAGUUUUACCAAAUUAAUUGACAAAAAAACUUAAACGAUGCCCAUGUACCAUGAAAGAGAGUUUCAUAUACAUUGAUACAAAUGUAGAAUGUGUUUAGAAUUUUCAAAACAACAGUAAAGAUCAUAGAUUUUAGUAUAUAGAGCAUUUUCCGAAAAAUUAAAUAUUUUCGUAGGGUUAACCCAUUGAUUUUGUGAAAAAUUAAAAAAAAAAAUUAUAUUUUAAUGCAUAUUUGCAUUCUUCACUAACAUAUGAUGAAGCUCAAAGAUGUUUGGAACCUUAGUUGUGUUCGUUUUUCAAGAGAAUAGCAAUUUUAUAGUGGUUAGUCAACCAAUUUAGGAAGUAUUAUGAAGUUUUAAUAAAUUAAUUGGCAAAAAAUUUUAACGAUGCCCAUGUAUAAUGAAAGAGAGUUUAAUAUAUAUUAAUACAAAUGUAUAAUGCGUUUAAAAUUUUUAAAACAACACUAAAGAUUAUAGGUUUUAGUAUAUAGAGCAUUUAC